rfam:Triticum aestivum genome assembly, contig: Triticum_aestivum_CS42_TGACv1_scaffold_626024_7DS
CUAUUACUCCCUCUGUCUCAAAAUUCAUGUCUUAGAUUCAUCUGGAUACGAAUGUAUCUAAUAGUAAAACGUGACUUGAUACAUCCGUAUUUAGACAAAUUUAAGACAAGAAUUUUAGGACGAAGGGAGUAUCAU